GGGAGGGGUCAGGUGGGCAAUUCUUAUGUGAGUCUUUCAAAGAUUUAUAGUUAGAUGUCGACUGGAACUGUGGUCAUCUGAAGGUUUGACCCGGCUGGACACCCAAGAAGACUCACUCAGAUGGCUGGCUACUGAUGCUUGCUGUCAGCCGGGGGCUCUACAGCCGGUACCUUUUCCUGACCUUUCUGACACCAUAGGGCUGUCCUGAGACUUCUUACAGGAUACCUGGUGUCCCCCAGGAAGAGCCUCCCAAGAGCACCAAAAUGAGAUCUGCAUAACCUUUUGCCACACAGAAGUCACAUGCCAUCAUUUCUUCCAUAUUUGUACUUUUAAAAGACUCAGCUUUGGGCUAUGGUUAUAACAUAUUCAAGCUUUGAAGAGGAUGACUGGUCCUGUAGCUCUGAUGUACCUAGAAUGUCCAGAGUCGUUAUUACAAUGGGGGAAGUUGCUACCUGAACCACCAUGGGACCCACAAAUGUCACUGACAGCACUAUCAGAGCAUUCUGGAGCCAUAGCUGCUGCCAUGGCCCAGGGAGUGGGGCUAUUUUCCUGGGUCACGAAGAGCACAGAGCAUCAGAGUUGGGGGAAACAAUGAAGCAAAUGUCUAUCCCAUUCUGGA